rnacentral:rRNA from 1 species
UACGAAGGGGGCUAGCGUUGCUCGGAAUCACUGGGCGUAAAGCGCACGUAGGCGGAUCUUUAAGUCAGGGGCGAAAUCCCAAGGCUCAACCUUGGAACUGCCUUUGAUACUGGGGAUCUCGAGUCCGGAAGAGGUUGGUGGAACUGCGAGUGUAGAGGUGAAAUUCGUAGAUAUUCGCAAGAACACCAGUGGCGAAGGCGGCCAACUGGUCCGGUACUGACGCUGAGGUGCGAAAGCGUGGGGAGCAAACAGG